CAGCCGCCACGGUAAUGCGAAGGGGGCUAGCGUUGUUCGGAUUUACUGGGCGUAAAGGGCGCGUAGGCGGACUGAUAAGUCAGGGGUGAAAUCCCAAGGCUCAACCUUGGAACUGCCUUUGAUACUGUUUGUCUUGAGUUCGAGAGAGGUAAGUGGAACUGCGAGUGUAGAGGUGAAAUUCGUAGAUAUUCGCAAGAACACCAGUGGCGAAGGCGGCUUACUGGCUCGAAACUGACGCUGAGGCGCGAAAGCGUGGGGAGCGAACAGGAUUAGAUACCCCUGUAGUCCCUGUCUCUUAUAC
rnacentral:rRNA from 1 species